GAGUUUGAUCCUGGCUCAGAACGAACGCUGGCGGCGUGCUUAACACAUGCAAGUCGAGUGCGCGUGCUGUAGCAAUACGGCAUGGCGCACGGCGCACGGGUGCGUAACACGUGGGCAAUCUGCCCUUCGAUGGGGAAUAACUCGCCGAAAGGCGAGCUAAUUCCGCAUAACAUUCCUUGGAUUGCGGUUCGAGGAUUCAAAGCCGUAAGGCGUCGAAGGAGGAGCCCGCGCACGAUUAGCUAGUUGGUGAGGUAACGGCUCACCAAGGCAAUGAUCGUUAGCUGGUCUGAGAGGAUGGCCAGCCACACUGGAACUGAGACACGGUCCAGACUCCUACGGGAGGCAGCAGUGGGGAAUCUUGCACAAUGGGCGAAAGCCUGAUGCAGCGACGCCGCGUGGGGGAUGAAGCAUUUCGGUGUGUAAACCCCUUUCGACCGGGAAGAAUGCCUCGCAAGAGGAGUGACGGUACCGGUAUAAGAAGCCCCGGCUAACUACGUGCCAGCAGCCGCGGUAAGACGUAGGGGGCCAGCGUUGUUCGGAAUUACUGGGUGUAAAGGGUUCGUAGGCGGUGUGGCAAGUUGGGAGUGAAAUCUCUGGGCUUAACCCAGAGGCUGCUUCCAAAACUGCUGUGCUUGAGUGUGGGAGAGGCGCGUGGAAUUGCAGGUGUAGCGGUGAAAUGCGUAAUAUCUGCAGGAACACCCGUGGCGAAAGCGGGCGCUGGACCACAACUGACGCUGAGGAACGAAAGCUAGGGGGAGCAAACAGGAUUAGA
rnacentral:rRNA from 1 species